rnacentral:rRNA from 1 species
UACAGAGGGUGCAAGCGUUAAUCGGAGUUACUGGGCGUAAAGGGCGCGUAGGUGGUUAUUUAAGUGAGAUGUGAAAUCCCUGGGCUUAACCUAGGAACUGCAUCUUAUACUGGGUAACUGGAGUACUGUAGAGGGUAGUGGAAUUUCCGGUGUAGCGGUGAAAUGCGCAGAUAUCAGGAGGAACACCGGUGGCGAAGGCGGUUCUCUGGGCAUUACCUGACGCUGAGGAGCGAAAGUGUGGGGAGCGAACAGG